rnacentral:rRNA from 1 species
CGGUGACGAUAUCUAGAUGGACCCACCCGUUCCCAUUCCGAACACGGCCGUUAAGCAUCCAGAGCCGAUGAUAGUGCUUCCAGCGCGAAAGUAGGUUAUUGCCGGCAUU